GAUGAGUGCUAAGUGUUGGAGGGUUUCCACCCUUCAGUGCUGGAGUUAACGCAAUAAGCACUCCGCCUGGGGAGUACGGCCGCAAGGCUGAAACUCAAAGGAAUUGACGGGACCCGCACAAGCGGUGGAGCAUGUGGUUUAAUUCGAAGCAACGCGAAGAACCUUACCAGGUCUUGACAUCCCCUGCAUAACCUAGAGAUAGGUGAAGUCCUUCGGGACAGGGAGACAGGUGGUGCAUGGCUGUCGUCAG
rnacentral:rRNA from 1 species